rnacentral:rRNA from 1 species
UGUAUUGGACUACCGUGGCAGUGACGGGUAACGGGGAAUUAGGGUUCGAUUCCGGAGAGGGAGCCUGAGAAACGGCUACCACAUCUAAGGAAGGCAGCAGGCGCGCAAAUUACCCAAUCCUGACUCAGGGAGGUAGUGACAAGAAAUAACAACACUGGAAAUUUGAUUUCUAGUGAUUGGAAUGAUGGGAAUCCAAACCCCUUUCAGAGUAACAAUUGGAGGGCAAGUCUGGUGCCAGCAGCCGCGGUAAUUCCAGCUCCAAUAGCGUAUAUUAAAGUUGUUGCAGUUAAAAAGCUCGUAGUUGGAUGUCUGUUGGAAGCAAUCAUCAGUCCGCCCUAUUUGAUUAGGGUGUGAAUAUGAUGAAUUCCGGCAUAAUUGUCUCCCUAUUGUUAAUAUUCUGAUUGUUAGAUUCAUUUCUAACAAUAAUACGAUUAUUAAUAAUAAGGGGGAAGUGUUACUUUGAGAAAAUUAGAGUGUUUGAAGCAGGCUUUUGUUGCCUUGAAUACUGCAGCAUGGAAUAACAAUAUAGGAUUUCGGUUCUAUUUUGUUGGUUCUUUUUUUAGGACUGAAAUAAUGAUUAAUAGGGACAGUUGGGGGCAUUCGUAUUUAACUGUCAGAGGUGAAAUUCUUAGAUUUGUUAAAGACGAACUACUGCGAAAGCAUUUGCCAAAGAUGUUUUCAUUAAUCAAGAACGAAAGUUAGGGGCUCGAAGACGAUCAGAUACCGUCGUAGUCUUAACCAUAAACUAUGCCGACUAGAGAUAGGAAAUUGUCAUUUUACUUGACUUCUCCUGCACCUUAUGAGAAAUC